CUCCCUGGAGCUCUUCACGUGAUGACAGGCGCAGAUCAGCGGACAGGCGCGUAACAGGAGGUGCUAAGUGCGCAGGUGGGGUCACGUGCCGCGUCACAGCAGUGCUGGAGGAGAGUCCUGACUCAUGGCCUGGGAUGCUGGGGUUCCUCCCCAGAGAAGCUCUUUUGGACCUGGGAGAAGGAGUAGGACUUUGAUACACCAUGGAGGUCUCUGAAUGUAACCAAAUUGUUCUCCUCUUAUCAUUCCCAUUCACUGGUGUACUUGUUUGUGGAGCCUGCAGAACUGCCUUUUUCAAGAAUGCUUAAGGCUAAUUUAAAAGGAUGGUGAGGAGAUUCUAUUUUCAACUGGCUGAAGUUCAAUAAGAAUAAAAUAAAACACUGUUGUAGCAAACUCUUUCACAGUGGAAGUUUGGCAAAGCUAAAUCUCAUUCCUUUCGAUGUGCUCCAGUACAGCCAAAAUACUGUUCCAGUGAGUAAGACACCCAUUAGAGUGAUGAGCUUCCUACAGAACAAGAAUCUCUCCAUAUUUUA
rnacentral:lncRNA from 1 species